rnacentral:rRNA from 1 species
AGAAUCAACGCUGGCGGCGUGCCUAACACAUGCAAGUCGAACGAGAAAGGGUAGCAAUACCUGAGUAAAGUGGCGCACGGGUGAGUAACACGUGACUAACCUACCUUUUAGUGGGGGAUAACCUAGGGAAACCUGGGCUAAUACCGCAUAAUACCUACGGGUCAAAGCAGCAAUGCGCUGAAUGAGGGGGUCGCGGUCGAUUAGUUAGUUGGCAGGGUAAUGGCCUACCAAGACUGUAAUCGAUAUCCGGCCUGAGAGGGCGCACGGACACACUGGAACUGAAACACGGUCCAGACUCCUACGGGAGGCAGCAGUGGGGAAUUUUGCGCAAUGGGGGAAACCCUGACGCAGCAACGCCGCGUGGAGGAUGAAGUCCCUUGGGACGUAAACUCCUUUCGAUCGGGACGAUAAUGACGGUACCGGAAGAAGAAGCCCCGGCUAACUUCGUGCCAGCAGCCGC